CGCGGGUUAGUGUAACAGUAACAUUUUUGACUCAUGAUCAAAAGAAAAAGGUGCAAAUCCUUUAUCCGCAU
rnacentral:tRNA from 2 species